rnacentral:rRNA from 1 species
AUUGAACGCUGGCGGCAGGCCUAACACAUGCAAGUCGAGCGGAUGGAGGGAGCUUGCUCCUGGAUUCAGCGGCGGACGGGUGAGUAAUGCCUAGGAAUCUGCCUGGUAGUGGGGGAUAACGUCCGGAAACGGGCGCUAAUACCGCAUACGUCCUGAGGGAGAAAGUGGGGGAUCUUCGGACCUCACGCUAUCAGAUGAGCCUAGGUCGGAUUAGCUAGUUGGUGGGGUAAAGGCCUACCAAGGCGACGAUCCGUAACUGGUCUGAGAGGAUGAUCAGUCACACUGGAACUGAGACACGGUCCAGACUCCUACGGGAGGCAGCAGUGGGGAAUAUUGGGCAAUGGGCGAAAGCCUGAUCCAGCCAUGCCGCGUGUGUGAAGAAGGUCUUCGGAUUGUAAAGCACUUUAAGUUGGGAGGAAGGGCAGUAAGUUAAUACCUUGCUGUUUUGACGUUACCAACAGAAUAAGCACCGGCUAACUUCGUG